CGGAAUAGAAUUCUACACAAAGGAGCCCCAAGGGAUGAGACAGAGCAGCACAUUUUGAGUAUGGAGGUCUAUGCAGUUCAUGAAGAAGAACCAGAAAUUGGCUGGGAUUGCUCAGCUGCUGAAUGUAGCUGCCAAGGAAGGAUCUUGACUCCAACCUAGUUCAUUCAGGGUCACAGGCAGUAGGCAGGAGCUGCUGUGGAAGGCCGGCUUUCAGAUAGCCACCCCGACUGAGUGACUCAGCCCCUCAGCGUGGAACACCAUCCACAAUCCAUCUCUCCUCGUCUUUUAGCAUCUGAUUCAUCCUUCUUCAGAUCUCAAUACAUGACUCUGGGGACCUGACACAAAGUUGAGAAUCUCACAAAUUAAGAACUGCAAGAUGGGGACAGCAGCAGCCCACAAACUUC